GAGAAGCACCUUUGGACCAGUUAAGCCCAGUUCAUCCCUCGUGGCUGCCCAGGGCAGCUGGGGACAGGAACAGGACACACGUCGAUGAGUGCCUCCCUGUGCUAGGCCCGUGCCAAAACUGCCCAUGCUCCCCCGUGGUCCUCCUGCCACCCCACAGAGAGGCUGCUGUCCUCAUGUCACACACUGGGGCUCAGGGAAGGAGGAGGAUGUGCCCGCCCAAGGCCCGGAGCUGAGAAGGCCUUCAUCAAAAGAUGAACCUGGGGCUCAGGAGGAGGUGGACUCCCUCAGGACCUGAAGCUGACGCAUGGCAAGCCAGGAAGGAGCCCUGUCUCUGCCUCCAGCGGCUCUGCCGGCCCUGCUUCCUCCACACCUUGUUCUCUCCAACCAGACUUGAGCUCCGAAAGACCCGGCUACGAACAAAGCAGGUGCUUGGGAAAUAUUCCUGGAGUGGAUGGUUUGGGGAGGAGACAGGCCUCCACUCCGCAUUCUCGUCCUUGCUGGCCACCAGAGUUCCCCCACUCCAGGCAGCCCCAUGGGAUGGCCCUUCAACAACUUCCAGUCCCCACGAAGCACCCAAGGGAGAGGAUGCAGCACCCCCUGCCUGAGCCUGCCUCCUGGAAGCCCAGCCAGGUCCCCAGCCACGCUGAGAGCUCCACCUCUCUCUGUCCUGGCCUGGGCCUUCCUUCCAGUCAAGUCUUUCUCCUCUGCUGGCAUUGGGUCCUGAUGCCCACGCUGACCUCCUUCUGCAGCCUCUCCGACUCCUGCAGCAAC